CACGUAGGCACCAAGCGUUGUCCGGAUUUAUUGGGCGUAAAGAGCUCGUAGGCGGUUCGGUAAGUCGGGUGUGAAAACUCUGGGCUCAACCCAGAGCCGCCACCCGAUACUGCUGUGACUCGAGUGCGGUAGGGGAGCGGGGAAUUCCCAGUGUAGCGGUGAAAUGCGUAGAUAUUGGGAAGAACACCAGUGGCGUAAGCGACUCGCUGGGCUGUAACUGACGCUGAGGAACGAAAGCCAGGGGAGCGAAUGGG
rnacentral:rRNA from 1 species